rnacentral:rRNA from 1 species
AAUGGGCGAAAGCCUGAUCCAGCCAUGCCGCGUGCAGGAUGACUGCCUAUGGGUUGUAAACUGCUUUUAUAUAGGAAGAAAACUUUCUCGUGAGAAAGCUUGACGGUACUAUAAGAAUAAGGAUCGGCUAACUCCGUGCCAGCAGCCGCGGUAAUACGGAGGAUCCAAGCGUUAUCCGGAAUCAUUGGGUUUAAAGGGUCCGUAGGUGACAAAUAAGUCAGAGGUGAAAUCCUGCAGCUCAACUGUAGAACUGCCUUUGAUACUGUUUGUCUUGAGUUAUUAUGAAGUGGUUAGAAUGUGUAGUGUAGCGGUGAAAUGCAUAGAUAUUACACAGAAUACCGAUUGCGAAGGCAGAUCACUAAUAAUUAACUGACACUGAGGGACGAAAGCGUGGGUAGCGAACUGGAUU